GGGACGCGUGGGACGCUGGGGUCGCGGCGAGCUCCUGUUUCACCCGGAGGACCUCGCCGAGACGCUGUUCGUGUUGCUGCGCGGCUCG
rnacentral:tRNA from 1 species